ACGCUCGACACCUACGGGAGCAGCAGUUAGGAAUAUUGGGCAAUGGAGGAAACUCUGACCCAGCAACGCCGCGUGAAGGAAGAAGGUUUUCGGAUUGUAAACUUCUGAUCUAGGGGAAGAAGGAAGUGACGGUACCCUAGGAGAAAGCCACGGCUAACUACGUGCCAGCAGCCGCGGUAAUCUGAGCGGGCUGGCAAGGC
rnacentral:rRNA from 1 species